UCCGAAAAAGGUAAACCCAUUGAGAGGUGGGGGCGCAAAGCCGACGGGUCCUGUGAAGGAUGGCCGGGCUGCCGGAG
rnacentral:ncRNA from 1 species